AGAUCUAUAGUGGACAAUGUUGAACAGAGUUGAAGUCCUGGAAUCUCGGUCAACUGCAGAUAGCAGCAUGGCGUAAAGCAGACGUCUUGUUUCCCAGUCCAAUUUUAGUCAGGUAUUCUUGGUGGUAUGAAACUGCAGUCAACACAGGUUUUUAGAGGUCUGCAAGUACAGAGUUUUAAAUUGUGAAA
rnacentral:lncRNA from 1 species